CCUACGGGUGGCUGCAGUGAGGAAUAUUGGUCAAUGGACGGAAGUCUGAACCAGCCAUGCCGCGUGCAGGAAGACGGCUCUAUGAGUUGUAAACUGCUUUUGUACAAGGGUAAACCUGAAUACGUGUAUUCAGCUGAAAGUACUUUACGAAUAAGGAUCGGCUAACUCCGUGCCAGCAGCCGCGGUAAUACGGAGGAUCCAAGCGUUAUCCGGAUUUAUUGGGUUUAAAGGGUGCGUAGGGGGAUUGAUAAGUUAGAGGUGAAAUGUCCGGGCUUAACGCGGAAAUUGCCUUUAAUAAUGGCAGUCUAGAGUGUAGAUGGGGUAGGCGGAA
rnacentral:rRNA from 1 species